UGGUUUUCAGGGGAGCUGAAGGGAGGCUUCACCAAACAAGGGGGGUGACUUUGAGGCUGAGGGGAAGGAUAUGGAGCUGAGGGCGGGUGGGUAAGGCCAGACCGGCCCAGUCCUUGUUUCAUCCUGUAGAACUGGCUGUGCUGGGCAGGGAGGGAGGCAGGCCUACAGACAUGGCUGCUGGCAGAGCCAAGAACCAGCCGCUGGAACCCGGGGUGAGGCCAGGAGCAAUUCCCGGGGCUGGGUAAGCAUGUGCAGAGCUGCUCUGAGCUGAGGCGGGGCAGCAGGAAGACCCCAACUCUGUUUUCAAGGAUGUUAAGUGACAAUAACAAAGAACAGAAGUCUUAAGCCAUAGCUUAAAGUCACAACAGAUGAGUCACUGAGUGAAGGGUGUGGUCACAGGAGUGCUGUUGAGGUCACUGGACCGCAAAGGCCACAGGCGUCUGCAGGAAGGACUGGCCGUUGAGCAGCCUCCUGCCGGAGGAAAGGGCUCUGACCUGGUUCCUGACGGGUAGGCUCAGGAACCAGUUCCCCACAUCCUGUGAACUAGGGGUCUGACAGCAAGCAGGGCUAGAAAGGGGACAGAGGGACACGACUGGUUGGGCUUUAUGGCCCUGGCUCAGGGUGGGACAGCAAGUGAAAAGCGUCUGGGACAAUGCGGAAGGGUCACUCAGUGUGACUUUGAUGGUCUGUAGCCCACUGGUCUCUGUCUAGGCCAGAAGGUCUCAGCUGAAGUCUUUGCUGAAGCAGAACAGCCAUGGAAAUUUCCACCCAGGUUCUUUCCCCAGCGCUGUUCUCAGCUCCACCUUCCUCCCAGGCCCUGAUGAGUCCAAAGUUCUUUUGCUUGUGUGGGCUGCAGGCUGGAGAGGCGAGGGCUCCCCCAGGGACCGUGACAGCCACAGAGGUGGUCAGAGCUUCAGGCACCCAGGGCACUGUGCCAUCUGGAAACUGGAAUUGUCACCCCAACUGACAGGCGCCAGGAUUCCUGCUCCCAGGAAGGCAAAGGGAGGAAGGGCAGCUCCCACCAUGUUGUCAGGGCUCUGAAGCCAGGCCAGCUCCUGUGCCUGUGCCUCCCAGAGCACAAGGCCUCGGGCCCAGAACUAGCCCAGAGGCACCUAAACGGGGAGUGCACCACGUCUGCUCAGUUCUCUUGGGAGGCGCAUUUUGUAUAUUUAUUUCCCACAGCUCCCAAGUGGAAGAAGUGACUUUGUGUGAGAGGGGAGCUGGGAAGACACCAGGAGCUCUCCCCCGCCCCACCCCCACCUCUCCUUGCCCAGGAUCUCAGCUCUGCCCACCUCCAGUGAGGUUCUCCCACCACAGCAACAGCUGGGGUGGGGGCCAGAUGGAGCCCUGGCCUUAGGGCAAUAAAGUGAGGUUACCAAACAGGGCAAAAUGACAUGGCUAUGGUGUCUGCAUCCUUGUCCACAGCUGGAGGGCGGGGGGGGGGGGGCGGGGGAUCGCCCUCAGUGAGGUUGAUACAGGUCACCUCUCCCACCUCUGGGCAUGAGUGAGCCUGAGGUUUCUCUGUCCACUUUCAGGCUCCAGCAGUGGCACCUCAUCCUCCCACCAACCUGGCUGCAAACCCCACAUUCCCACUGGCCUUCAGAGGAGCCAGGAGACAUGUUAACAACACAGCAUCGUCCAGGAAAAUAGAGGCUGUGCUGAGACAGAGGACUUGUUUCUGUGGGGAUGUGGGCCACAGUUGUGUUGAGAAAGAAUGAACACAUACGGAAGAUGUGAAAUGUUUAAUGAGCUUCCUGCUGGGUGUGCAACGCGUAUGCGAUGCUGACACAAACAUCUGCCGGGACCUCAAAGGGGGUGAUUGAACAGAUCACAGGUGGGGAUACAAGGUCAACAUGAUUCACUGGGGAGCCUCCCUAUUCCUUCAGGCUAUUUCUGAAGGUCCACUCAGCAGGCCUCAGAGGCCCAACAGGCCCUAGCGUGUGUCAGUGUUUCAGCCAGUGAGGCAGUGAACUGUUGAGUCCUGACAUUGGAACUACUUUUGCUUCCCUCACAAAGGCUGCGGAGGGUUAUUGAAUGCCAACAGCGUGAGUUGUCCCUCGCCCAUAAAUACGCCUCUCCCGGCUCUGCAGCAGGCAUUCAGGCAGCGAGCGCAGAGGUGACUGCUGAGACCGAGGCACUACUUGAGGAAACCAGAUAAGUUUUUCUAUUAAAAAGAGAUAGAAAAUAAUAUUCUUUAGGAAAUGUAAAUAGCGAAGGAAGGUACUUACUGAGAUACUGCUUAGCAUUAAUAUUUUAACUUUUCUAACAAAGAUCUUAUUUAAGGGAAAAUAUGAUGAAGACUUACUUAAAAAGUAGUUUCAGAAAGGAAGAGAGAAGAAAAGUACUUCCAGAACAUGACGGAGAUUAAGAGAUGAAACUUCUUUACGAAGUAAAAUAAUUUUCAAAGAAAUGGCUGAUAGGACUGCAAAGUCUGAACUCAAAAACGCCUUAACUAUAAAUUGAAGGGCAAACUUUAAAAAUGCCAUUAAACCGUAGGUGACAUAAGUAGAACAUAAUUGUCAUUUAAAGAAAGUUGGAGGUGGUUAAACUAUAUAUUAAAUGCCGUAUUUAAAAGAGAAAAUUGAUUUAAGAGAGGCCUUCAAAUUCAUGGCGCAGUAAAGAUUGUGUCAUUUGAAGCCCAGUUGCUCUUACGGCAUUAUUAGCUUAAGAUGGGCAAUUGUUAAUUUAGAAAUCAUAGGAUAAAAUUUUGGAGAAAGAUUAGAAAUUUGAAGUGGAAAACUUGGAAGACAGAAGUGUACAGGAAGGUGAAGAAAAAGACUUAGAGAAGACAGGAAAAUAGAAGAUACAACAUGCAUUUUAGAAGACAGAAAAACUAAGUCCUAAAGGUAGAAAGCAGAAGAGAAAAUAUUUAGGCAAAUUAACCAAAGCAACUAAGGGCACAGAUACAAAUGUAGUAGAAAACCAGAAGAUAGAAAACGAGAAGAUACAGAUUUAAUAGAAAAGUAGAAAAUAGAAAAUGAAGAUACAAGUUUAGUAGAAAAUAGAAGAUAGAAAAAGAUACAGAUUAAGUAGAAAAAUAGAAGAUAGAAAAUGAGAAGAUACAGAAAAGUAGAAAACUAGAAGAUAGAGAAUGAGAAGAUACAAGUUUUAGUAAAGUAGAAGAUAGAAAAUGAGAAGAUACAGAUUAAGUAGAAAACUAGAAGAUAGAAAAUGAAGAUAUAAGUUUAGUAGAAAAUAGAAGACAGAAAAAGAUACAGAUUAAGUAGAAAAUGAGAAGAUAGAAAAUGAGAAGAUACAGAAAAGUAGAAAACUAGAAGAUAGAGAAUGAGAAGAUACAAGUUUAGUAGAAAAAAUAGAAGAUAGAAAAUGAGAUACAGAUUAAGUAGAAAAAUAGAAGAUAGAAAAUGAGAAGAUACAGA